UACGGAGGGGGCUAGCGUUGUUCGGAAUUACUGGGCGUAAAGCGCACGUAGGCGGCUUUGUAAGUUAGAGGUGAAAGCCCAGGGCUUAACCCUGGAAUUGCCUUUAAGACUGCAUCGCUAGAAUCGUGGAGAGGUGAGUGGAAUUCCCGGUGUAGCGGUGAAAUGCGCAGAUAUCGGGAGGAACACCAAUGGCGAAGGCAGCUCGCUGGGACGGUACUGACGCUGAGGCGCGAAAAGCGUGGGGAGCAAACAGGG
rnacentral:rRNA from 1 species